AUGACUUUUCCUUCUUACUAUUAUUCCAAUAUAUAUUCCAAAAGGCACAUAACUUACGUGUGCUACAAAUGUCUGCAGCAUCUGCUGAUUUUCUCAAACAUGGGAUUGAGGAGGUGGAUGGGUCUUUCCCUCAAAUUUUGAGCAAAUUGUACCAUCUCCAAGUAUUAGUCGGUUCAUACAAUGAUCGUACUAUGCCUGGUUGUAUUGAUAAUCUUGUUAGCCUGCGGCAUCUUGUUGUACACAAGGGAGUGUACUCUUCCAUUGCAACCAUUGAUAAUAUGCUAUCAUUUCAGGAACGACAUGGUUUCAAGUUUCAUAUUUCUAGUGGCUUUGAGAUAACACAACUCCAAUCCACUGAACAUUGGAUGCAUGUUAAUACUCUGGAAGAUGUUUAUGAGGCAGGACUGGUAAACAAUGAACUCUCAGAAAAGUUGCACUUGUCCUGGAAGGAUUCUCCUGCGGACAUGGUCAUGGAGGUUGAGGGUUGGGAACCACAUUGGGACUUAAGGGUUCUCGAGAUAUCUGGGUAUAAUUUUG
rnacentral:rRNA from 1 species